UACGGAGGGGACUAGCGUUGUUCGGAAUUACUGGGCGUAAAGCGCACGUAGGCGGAUUUGUUAGUCAGGGGUGAAAUCCCGAGGCUCAACCUCGGAACUGCCUUUGAUACUGCAAAUCUCGAGUCCGGAAGAGGUGAGUGGAAUUCCUGGUGUAGCGGUGAAAUGCGCAGAUAUCAGGAGGAACACCAAUGGCGAAGGCAGCUCGCUGGGACGGUACUGACGCUGAGACGCGAAAGCGUGGGGAGCAAACAGG
rnacentral:rRNA from 1 species